rnacentral:rRNA from 1 species
UACGAGGGGGGCAAGCGUUGUUCGGAAUUAUUGGGCGUAAAGGGCGUGUAGGUGGUAAUGUAAGUCUGGCGUGAAAUUUUCCGGCUUAACCGGGAAAGGUCGUCGGAUACUGCAUGACUAGAGGACGGUAGAGGCGUGUGGAAUUCCGGGUGUAGUGGUGAAAUGCGUAGAGAUCCGGAGGAACACCAGUGGCGAAGGCGGCGUCCUGGCCUGCGACUGACGCUGUGGCGCGAAAGCUAGGGGAGCGAACGGG